CUUUUCCUGUUUUGUAUAUA
rnacentral:snRNA from 1 species